CCAACUAUUUGAAAAUUCAAAAUUCAAAUUCUAUAGCGUAGAGAAACUUGAAAAUUUCGAAUUUAGAUCCAAAAAAACACAGUGAAAACCCAAAAAUUUUCUGUUAAGAAAUAGAUAGUUUAAAUACAAAGCAUUAGAUCCUACAAAUCCAAAAAGAAAAUCCUGAAAAUCAACAAAAGAUGGUGCAGAAAUCAUUUCCAGAUCAGUUGUUUAUUUAGUUGCACUGGUUCAACAAGUUUGGUCUUCAGAUUCAAUUGGUUAUUAGUAAGUGGAAGCUGUUUUGGAAUUUGCUGCAUUGUAUCUGGUUUCUCCUGGGUAUAAAGCUUGGCAUCUGCUGAGAUCUGCUAGAUUUUAACUUGCUGUUGCGUGCCUGUUUAGAUGACCUCUAUUUUUCCUCAUUUUGUUCUAAAUUCCAGGUACGAUCCCUCAACGUUGGUGACAUAGUAUGUGAUUCCAGAUUUGAAAUGAAGCUCAGUUGCUGUCUUCAAUUUUGUUUUAUGCCAGUUACAUCUCUUCUGUUACUUGCAUUUACUCGUAUGUAUUAGCUUAGCCAAACUCUGUUUAAGUAGUUAAGUUUCUCAUGCUGUACUUAAACACGAACUCUGAAAACUGUGAUGUAUUUGGAUCCUGUGGUUUGUGUUGUUUAAUGUUACAAAGUUGAUAGCUGUGUAACAAUUCGUUCAGACUGUAGUUAAUCGAGUUAUCAUUGAUCCUGAAUAAGAGAAAUCCUCAAUAAUUGGUCUAUAGAGAUACUGGUUGUCACGACCCUAGUCCACCAUCGUGAACCUGUCAUGACGGCACCCAGUCUUCGCGACUAGGUUAGCCUUAACACAUUGCGAAAUUUAACAAUGCGGAAAUAAAACAAUACCAACUACUAAAUAGAACAUGAAAUGUAUACGGUGCCGUUUUGAACAUACACUACACACACCACUUCUGAAGAUAACAUCCGAAAACCCAGAAUCCCACAUGCAACACAAGUCUAAGAGAAACGUAAAUACAGUUCUAAUGUCUGAAAGAGUCUAGUACAACAGAAACAAUAAGGAACAGUACUGCUAACUAAGAUAGAAAGGAUGGAGACUCUCUGGUCUGCGGACGCAGCAGUAUACCUCAAGUCUCCGGUAGCAAGCUCCGAACUCACCGACGAUACGCCUGGCUGGAUGUACGUGGAUCUGCACAACAAAAGUUUGCAGAAGAGUAGCAUGUGUACACCACAAUCGGUACUCAGUAAGUGCCAAGCCUAACCUCGGUUGGGUAGUGACGAGUAAUGUCGAGGCCACUACUGAGAUAAAUAUAAGAAUAUAUAUGAAAUGAAAUAACCGUAAGAAAUACGCAAACCUCGAAUAUCUAACAACAAUUAGAAGAACGGAAUAGGCUAUAUUACAACUAUACCAAACAAGAAAAAUCGUUACAGGCUAUUAGUCAUCAGGGAUCUCCUGGUAUCCCGAUGAUCUCCCGGUAUCCUCUUUAUACACACAAGGGAUUUCCAAGUAUCCCAAGGAUCUCCCAGUAUCCUCAUAAUAUAAGCAAGGGAUAUCCAAGUAUCCCGAGGAUCUCUUAGUAUCCUCCAAUUAAUCAGUCCUGCCUUGGGUAUCUCUUAGUAUCCACAAGUUAAAUAAUCCAGUGUCGGGGAUCUCUUGGUAUCCCGCACUUCCAAACCCCAAAACAAAACACGAACAGGGAAAACUCCUGGGGUGCCGUCCCGUAGUCCCAAUAGUAAAUACACAACAACAAACCCAUAUUUAAUUGAAAGAAAGCAAAAUGCGAACAAGUAAAAUCGAGAAUCUAACAUGCUUAACAGAAAUGACGAAUAUUGCAAUUUAGUCAAAUAGGAAAAAUAAGUUACUAACAUGCUAUCCAAGAGGAAACAAAUAUUACAAUUUAGUCAAAUAGAGCAAAUAAGUUACUAACAUGCUUUUCCUAAGUCAAAACAAGUGAAUUUUCAUUUUUUUAACAAUUAAAUAUGUGAAGAAACACAGUCUAAAUAAGCCAAGUAAGGUGAAUUUUCAACAACUAGCACAAGUACACGCCUGUCACCUCACACACAAGGCAUUUAAACAAUGGCAAAGAUAUCCUUAGGGGAGAGGUCCCCCACACAAAGUUAUGCAAGCUACUUACCUCGAAUUGGUACAAAACCGCUAAGAAAUAAUGUCCUUGCCACGAGUAUCCGAAACACACACGAGGCCCCCGAGACCUCAAACAAACCUACAAACAUAUCCCUUAACAUCAUUCAAACUUGUACCAAUCCUUAAACCACCUAAAACAACACCGGAAACACAAUUUAAUCAAUACAUUAAACUUAAAACCUCCAAAACUUAACCAAAUACGCUUUCGAUUCGAAACCUAACCAAACCACGUCCGAUUGACCUCAAAUUUUGCACGAACAUCCCAAAUGACAUGACUGUGCUACCGAAACUUCCGGAAUCCCGUUCCGACCCUCAGAUAAAAUAUUCACUAUCAGACUGGAAACUUCAAAAUUCUAACUUUCGACAUUUCUAGAUUAAAUGAGCUACAGACAUCCAAAAUUCAUUCCGAACACGCUCCCAACCCCGAAAUCACCCAACAGAGCUAACAUAACCAUCAGAUUUCCAUUCCGAGAUCGUCUUGACACUGUUCUAAUUACGGAUAAUUUUUCAACACCUAAGCUCUCAUUUAGGGACUAAGUGUCCCGAAACACUCCGAAUUCUAUUACCGAACAUCCCGGCAAACCAAAAUAGUGGAAAUGAACUUAGGGGAAACAGUUAAUGGGGAAACAGAGCAUAAAUUCCAAAGACGACCGGUCGGGUCGUCACAUCCUCCUUCACUUAAACAUUCGUUCGUCCUCGAACGAGCACAGAGAACAUACCUGAAGUAGCAAAAGGAUGAGGGUAUCGGCUGCGCAUAUCCCGCUCGGUCUCUCUAGUCGCCUCCUUAGCCGGCUGACCUUGCCAUUGAACCUUUACUGAAACUAUAUCCUUUGACGUGAGCUUUCGAACCUGCCUAUCAAAUAUUGCCACUGGCUACUCAACAAAGGACAAGUCAUUGUCCAACUGGACUGUUCCUUGUCCGGCUGACCCCGCCACUGAACAUUUACUAAAGCUAUAUCCUUUGACCUGAGCUUUCAAACCUGCCUAUCCAAUAUUACCACUGGCUCCUCAACAUAGGACAAGUCAUUAUCCAAUUGGAAUGAAGUGAACUCCAACGCGUGAGACGGGUCACCAUGAUACCUCGGAAGCAUUGAAACAUGAAAUACUAGAUGAACCCCGACCAAACUGGGAGGCAAAGCAAGCUCAUAAGCAACCUUCCCAAUCUACCUCCUCAAAUGGGCUAAUGGACCCCGGGCUCAACUUCCCUUUCUUCCCAAACGUCAUGACGCCUUUCAUAUGCGAGACCCGAAGAAAAACACGCUCACCAACCAUAAAGGAAACAUCACAAACCUUUCGGUCCGCAUAACUCUUCUGUCGGGACUGGGCCACAUGGAGUCUGUCCUGAAUCACCUUAACCUUCUCAACCGCAUCGUGAACCAAAUCAGUGCCCAAUAGCCUGGCCUCCCCGGCUCGAACCAACCCACCAGGGAUCUACAUCUCCUACCAUAUAAGGCCUUAUAAGGCGCCAUCUGAAUACUGGAAUGAUCUCUGUUGUUGUAUGCAAACAUAGCCAAUGGCAAGGACUGAUCCCAAGACCCUCUAAACUCAAUCGUGCACGCACGAAGCAUAUCCUCAAGAAUCUUAAUAGUGCGCUCGAACUGUCAGUCCGUAUGAGAAUGAAAAGCUGUACUCAUGGUCACCCGGGUACCCAACUCAUGCUGGACGGCACUCCAGAACCGUGAUGUAAACAUUGAACCCCUGUCUGAGAUGAUAGAAACUGGAAUGCAUGCAGACGGACAAUCUCCCCAAUAUAAAUCCAUGUUAACCGCUCCGCUGAGUAAGAAGUACACACUGGAAUCAAAAUGAGUGGACUUGGUUAGCCUAUCCACAACAACCCAAAUAGAAUCACACUUCCUGGCCGUCAUAGGGAUACAAGUCACAAAAUCCAUGGUGAUAUUCUCCCAUUUCCACUCCGGAAUCACCAUAUGCUGGAGUCACCCUCCCGGUCUCUGAUGCUCAGCCUUUACCUGCUGAUAGUUGAGGCAUCUAGCUACAAAUUCUAAUAUGUCCUUCUUCAUCCGCCUCCACCACAAUGCUGCCUCAGAUCCUGAUACAUCUUCGCGGCACCCGGAUGGAUGGAGUAACGCGAGUUUUGUGCCUCAGUCAAUAUCAACUCCCGAAUAUCAUCAACAUCGGGCACACAGAUCCGUCCCUGCAUCCUCAACACCCCAUCAUCUCCAAUAGUCACAUCCUUAGCAUCGCCAUGCUGAACUGUGUCCCUGAGGACAAGUAAAUGAGGGCAUCAUACUGUCGCUCCCUGAUACAAUCAAAUAAUGAGGACCGAGAAACCAUACAAGCUAGAACCCCACUAGCUCUAAAAUGUCCAAUCUCACAAACUAACUGGCUAAAACCUGGACAUCCAAAGCCAUAGGUCUCUCUGAAGCUGAUAAACCGCUCUCUGAUACGAUCAAACAAUGAAGACCGAGAAGCCACAUAGGCUAGGACCUGACUGGGCUCCGAAAGGUCCAAUCUCACGAACUGACUGGCUAGAGCCUGAACAUCCAUCGCCAUAGGUCUCUCUGAAGCUCGUAAAUAUGCCAAACUCCCCAAACUCUACGCCCGGUGGCUCAAGGCAUCGGCUAACACAUUGGCCUUGCCCGGGUGAUAAAGAAUAGUAAUAUCAUAGUCCUUUAGUAGCUCCAACCAUCUUCUCUGGCGCAAGUUCAGAUCCUUUUGCUUGAACAAGUGCUGCAAACUUUCAUGAUCCGUAUAAAUAUCACAAGGCACACCAUACAAAUAAUGAUGCCAGAUCUUUAAGGCAUGAACAAUAGCAGCUAACUCAAGGUCAUGGAAAUGAUAGUUCUUUUCAUGUACCUUCAACUGUCUGGAUGCGUUGGCAAUCACCCUACCAUCAUGCAUCAACACAUCUCCAAGUCCAACUCGUGAGGCAUCACAAUAAGCCGUAUAGGACCCCGAACCAGUAGGCAAAAUCAUAAUAGGGGCUGAAGUGAAAGCCGUAUUGAGCUUUUUGAAGCUCGCCUCACACUCGUAUGACCACUGAAAAGGAGCACCCUUCUGGGUCAAUCUAGUCAUAGGGUCUGCAAUCAACAAGAACACCUCCACAAAACGAUAGUAAUACCCUGCCAGGCGAAGGAAACUGUGGAUCUCUGUAGCUAAGAAGGGCCUAUGCCAACUUUGCUCGACCUCCACCUUCUUCGGAUCUACCCGAAUGCCCUCACUUCCCUCCACAAAACGAUGGUAAUACCCUGCCAGGCCAUGGAAACUGCGGAUCUUUGAAGAUGAUAAGGGCCUAGGCCAACUCUGCACGGCCUCCACCUUCUUCGGAUCUACCCGAAUGCCCUCACUCAAUAGCACAUGGCCUAUAACUCAACCAGAACUCACAUUUUGAAAACUUUGCACAUAAUUUCUUUUCUCUCAGGUUCUAAAGCACUGUUCUCAAGUGUUGCUCAUGAUCUUCCUGACUCGGGGAGUAUACAAGAAUAUCAUCUAUGAAAACAAUGACAAACGAGUCGAGAUACGGCCUGAAUACAGUGUGCAUCAAAUGCAUAAAAGCUGCUGGGGCGUUGGUCAGCCCAAAUGACAUGACAAGGAACUCGUAAUGACCGUACCGAGUCCUGAAAGCAGUCUUUGGGAUAUCCGGCUCCCGAAUCUUUAGCUGAUGGUAUCCUGAGCGCAAAUCAAUCUUAGAACACACAUGUGCGCCCUGAAGCUGGUCAAAUAGAUCAUCAAUACGAGGCAAAGGAUAUCGGUUCUNNNNNNNNNNNNNNNNNNNNNNNNNNNNNNNNNNNNNNNNNNNNNNNNNNNNNNNNNNNNNNNNNNNNNNNNNNNNNNNNNNNNNNNNNNNNNNNNNNNNNNNNNNNNNNNNNNNNNNNNNNNNNNNNNNNNNNNNNNNNNNNNNNNNNNNNNNNNNNNNNNNNNNNNNNNNNNNNNNNNNNNNNNNNNNNNGAAUAAAACCCUUAUCAAGCAAUUCCUGUAACUGAUCCUUCAACUCCUUCAACUCAGGAGGAGCCAUACGGUAAGGAGGAAUAGAUAUGGGCUGAGGGCUCGGCGACAAAUUAAUACCAAAAUAAAUGUCCCAAUCGGGUGGCAUGUCCGAAAGAUCAUCCGGGAACAAAUCAGGGAAUCCUGCACUACUGGAACAUAGUCAACAGAAGGGGUAUCAUCACUGACACCUCUCACAUAAGCUAACUACGCGGCACACCCCUUCUCAACCAUACGCUGAGCUUUAAGAAAAGAUAUAACUCUGCUGGGAGUGUGAUCAAAAGUACCACUCCACUCAAUACGAGGAAAACCUGGCAUAGCCAGUGUCACGGUCUUAGCGUGACAAUCAAGAAUAGCAUACUGUGGAGACAACCAGUCCAUGCCCAAGAUAAUGUCAAAAUCAACCAUAUCAAGUAAUAAAAGAUCUGCCCUGGUUUCAAAACCACGAAUAGUAACCAAACACGACCGAUAUACGCGGUCCACAACAAGGGAAUCUCCCACGGGAGUGGAAACAUAAACAUGAGAGCACAGGUCUCUCGGGCUGUACCCAAAUACUUAGAAAAAUAAGAUGACACAUAAGAAUAAGUAGAGCCUGGAUCAAAUAGAACCGAUGCCUCUCUGUGUACCACGGGAGUAAAAACAUGAACAGGAGAGCUCAAGGUCUCUCGUACUGUACCCAAAUGCGUAGCAAAAUAAGAUGACACAUAAGAAUAAGUAGAGCCUGGAUCGAAUAGAACCGAUACCUCUCUGUGACUAACCAAAAUAAUACACGUGAUAACAGAAUCGGAGGCGACAACCUCGGCACGAUCAGGGAUGGCAUAAAAUCUGGACCGACCCCUACCUCGAGGGAGACCUCUAUCUCCCCGAUCCCCUCCCAAGGCUAGCUGGGCAGAUGGGGUGACAGCUGGAGCUGGAAAAAUGGCCUAAGAAUCCCGCUAGGUGCUCUGCUGCUAAGACUGGUGUGGAGGUGCACUCCUCCUGAGCCUAGGGCAAUCCCUCACUAUCUGGCGGGUAUCCCCGCACUCAUAACAAGCGCUGGGUGGGCGCGGUGGCUGUGACUGACUAGAACCACCCCUGCUAGACUGACCUCUGGAGAUACCCUACGCAGGAGGCACGCUAGAAACUAGGGGUGCAUAAUAAGGCUCUUGAGAUCUGGGAGGAGCUGGAGUAGUGCUGGGUGAAGGAAGAGGUGAGUGAACUCGGUGACCCGUAUAACCCCUAGCAUGAUGUCCUGCUCCUGACGUACGUGUAAUAGAAAAAUGACUAGGCUCUCGAGACCUCUUGGCCUCCCUCUCCUCUCGCUCUCUGGCAUACAACCCUCUAUCCUCCUGGCUAUACUCACCACCUGCUGAUAGGGUAUAUCCAUCUCCAACACUCGCACCAUGCCAGACCUGAUGGAAGGAAUGAGACCCUCGAUAAACCUGCAAACCCUCUCACGAACAGUAGCCACCAAAGAAGGCGCAUGCCUGGCCAACCUAGUGUAACAGAUGGCAUACUCAGAAAAAAUAUUAGGGCCUUGGCGAAAGUGCUCAAACUCCACACGCCAUGCAUCUCGGAGGCUUUGGGGAACAAACUCCCUAUGAAAUAUAUCUGAAAACUGGGUCCAAGUCAGGGAGGCAGCUUCGUCCGGACUGUCUUGGAUGGCAUACUCAGAGAUAGUCACAGGGCCCUGGCGCAAGUGCUUAAACUCCGCGCGCCAUGAAUCGUGGAGGCUUUGGGGAACAAACUCCCCCUGAAACAUAUCUAAAAACUGAGUCCAAGUCAGGGAGGAAGCCUCGUCCGAACUGUCUAGCUCAAAAGUGCGCCACCAGUCAUAGGCAGCUUAUAAGGUCCCGUAUAUAAUUUUGUCACAGAACUUAGUAAACCGUGGUGCCUGCUCUAAUUAUGUAUUAUGAAUGUGUAGAGGUUCGGGCCCUUGGUAGUGAUUUAAGCCUUUAAAAAUUGAAAGAAUUAACUUUUCCAAAAAAGUGUCAAAAUGCGGUCCAGAAUGCGAUCACAGAUCAGCUAUGCGGACCGCAUUCCUACCGCAGAAUGAAUCAGAGAGCAACCAAAUUGAUGUUGAAAAUGCAGUCAAAUCUGCGAUCACAUAAUAAAUAUGCCGACCGCAAAGUGAUCGCGUAUUGUCCCUGAAGAAAUUCAAAAGUCAGUUUUGCGGUGCAUGUUGUGACCGCAGAACGCAAAUACGGACCGCAUAGUGACAACAUUCCCAACCCGAAAGGUUUGAAACUUGAUCCAUUUCUGCGAACCGCAUGUCAGUUCUGCGAUCGCAGAUAGGCGUCGCAGAUCGUAUUCGCUCAAUUAUUUUCUAAAAUUCUAACCCCGACCCCUCUUUUAAUAAAACACCCAAUCUCUCAUUUAUAACCCAUUUUAUGAACAAAAUAAGAGAGAGGAAGAGAGGGUUCUAAAGAGAGAAAGCUACUUCUUCAUCAAUUGAUCUUUCAAAAAUCAUCAAAGCCCGGAAAAUCUUGAGCAUCUGCCUNNNNNNNNNUCUUGAUCAAUUGAUCUUUCAAAAAUCAUCAAAGCCCGGAAAAUCUUGAGUAUCUGCCUUCCCCUCUGAUUUCUAGGUAAAAUCCCUAACCCUUUUCCCCUAAUUUUCGAACUCAGGUUUGGGGAUGGAGUUUCGUACUUUGAUUUUGAAAAUUCUUGUUAUAAAUCCACAUGCAUGUAUUCAAAACCCAAUAAUUGUAAAAAGGGAAAUGGGUAGUAAAUUCUGAAUUCCCAUUCUAAAGGUCUAUGUAUUUAUCAUGAACUAGAUUGAUCCUUAUUGAUUGCUUGAUGAAUUGAAGUAGAGGUUAAAAAGGAUAUUUAAUUCCAGGUAUGUAUGGUUAACUGUGAUCCUCGUGAAAUUGCCUAUGCUAGUUGUGAAAUUGUUGACAGUUGAUAUUCAUGUGAAAAUCAUUGUGAAGCUUUCGUGCUGUACAAAUUGUGUGGUAGUAACUUGUGGUGAAUGUUGUGGAACUUGUAAUUGGAACAACAGAAACGGAAAUAAUGUGGAAUUGCGGGAAUGGAAACAAUGUGGAACAAUGGAAAAAUGGAAACAAUGUGGAAUAAUGGAAAUGGAAACAAUGUGGAACACUAGAAAUGGAAAUAUUGUGGAAUAAUGUGUGGUUAGUUGUGAAAAAUUGUUGUGAUGAUCUAAAUUGUAUAUCAACUUUGAUGAACAUGAGAAAAAUUGUUGUUGCUAGUUGUGGGAUGUUAAUACCCUUGUUGUGGAAUUAUUUUAACAAAGGAGACAGUAGGAGAGUUUGUAACCUGUGGGGCACUGAUUGCCCCUUUGUAUGACUACGUGAAUAAUUGUUGUGAAAUUUUUCGUUGUUGCUUCCUGGUUGUACUUGUACUAUUGUUGUUCAGUUCUAUACUUGUUCAUGUAAUUUGGCUUGAGUUUACUUAGGACAGAGUUAGUUCACACAUGCCAGUACAAUUCAAGUGUACUGACGUCCCCUUUGCCGGGGGCGCUACAUUCAUGUUAUGAUUGUAGGUGGAUCCGUGGCAGGCACUCCAGUCCNNNNNNNNNNNNNNNNNNNNNNNNNNNNNNNNNNNNNNNNNNNNNNNNNNNNNNNNNNNNNNNNNNNNNNNNNNNNNNNNNNNNNNNNNNNNNNNNNNNNNNNNNNCCUCCUCUCUAUCGGCAGUAUUCGUGUUUGGUGAGCCCCUUUCCUUCUGGGGCCAUGUGUGGCCUACGCCACUCCUGUUGUUGUAUUUUGGAGUUAGUAUCUUUUGGUGAAGGUAUAGCCGGGGCCUUGUCAGCGGCAAGUGUUGUAUUAUCAUUCUCAUAGAGGCUCCGUAGACAGUGGUAUGUGGGUUAGGACUUAUGUAUAAAGGUAUAUGUUUUGUAAAAGGUGUCCCCUGUUAAUCAUAAUGUG
rnacentral:lncRNA from 1 species